rnacentral:rRNA from 1 species
AUUGAACGCUGGCGGCAUGCUUUACACAUGCAAGUCGAACGGCAGCGGGGUAGUGCUUGCACUACUGCCGGCGAGUGGCGAACGGGUGAGUAAUAUAUCGGAACGUACCGAGUAAUGGGGGAUAACCAAUCGAAAGAUUGGCUAAUACCGCAUACGUCCUGAGGGAGAAAGCGGGGGAUCGCAAGACCUCGCGUUAUUCGAGCGGCCGAUAACUGAUUAGCUAGUUGGUGGGGUAAAGGCCUACCAAGGCGACGAUCAGUAGCGGGUCUGAGAGGACGAUCCGCCACACUGGGACUGAGACACGGCCCAGACUCCUACGGGAGGCAGCAGUGGGGAAUUUUGGACAAUGGGGGCAACCCUGAUCCAGCCAUGCCGCGUGUAUGAAGAAGGCCUUCGGGUUGUAAAGUACUUUUGUUAGGGAAGAAAAGGGAAGUGCUAAUACCACUUUUUGCUGACGGUACCUAAAGAAUAAGCACCGGCCAACUACGUG